AGUGGAGCCAAGUAGUCCUGCAGCCUGCAUGCAGUUGCACAUCAACUGUGUCCUCUGUCUCUGCAGCUGCUGCCAGGGCCUCGGGAUCCAUCCUACCUAGUGGAGAACAACUGGAAACUGAAAGUACUAUUUUUUGUACCUGGCAAGCCCUGGAUGAGUGGCCUGUGGAGGACAUUUUUAGUGCAUCCACUGGUCUCAGUGGGACUCUGGUCCCCUGUAGGACGUCCUGCAGAUACCGUAGCACAAACAAUACUAAUCAAGCAACAUCACAGUAGAGCUGGUGCUCUAUAGAGCUGGGAUAUCGCCCGUCCUCUAAUUAUUUCUGUGCUUCUGUCAGUUGCAAGUCUUGACUGUUAAUGCAGCACCCAAAACUAAUGUUAGGAGCAUAUUCUCCUCUCCCUCCCCCCACUUUCUCCCCCUCUCCUUCUUCCCCUGCCUCCUACUCUCCCAAUCCCUCCCCCUUUCUCUCUUUUACAGUUUGUUUUAAUGCAAGCAUCAGUGAUGAGGAGCUGCUUUAAUUUGUUCUUUCUGAUUUGGUGUCCCAGGCGGUGCUACUCCCAGAAAGCACAUCCCUUGCCUGACAUCUUGGGGAUAGGGAGCUCAUUCGCUUCUGAUUAAUGAGCUUUUGAUUGGACUUUACAUGCUACAAAUUGAAACACUGCAUAUCCAAAGUAUAUUGGGAGUUACCUGAACUAAAUGUUAUGCAAGUCUUUUUUUUUUUCUUUCUUUUUCAUCACAGGACAAUGUUCUUACUGUAGCAGCAGCAAACUUUUUACUAAAGCUAAAAACAUGCAACAACAGACCAUCCGAGAAAGAAAGGGAAUAUCCCACAGCCAUAGUUUUUCCUCAUUUGAUCACACCUGAGAUUAAAUAAUAUCUCAGAUAUUUUGCAUGUCACUCUGAGAGAGAUUCUCCAAUUGGAGGAUAUUGGCAUGCUUUCUGAAUGUAAAAUCUGAAAGCAAAUGGUGCCAUUGGGACCCAUGUACAUGGUUAGUUGUGAGCUGCACCAACCCUAGAAUAAAUGAGGUCCAAAGACAGGUGUGCACCUUGGAGAGGGACAUAUGGAAGGUACUAUUCUAUUAAUGAUGAGGCCCUUUUUUAUUAGCUGAGGUUAAAUGGCCAUUUUAACUCACCAGUCUCCAAUAAUAAUGAGCCUUCUUUUCAUGAGGAACAGUCUGAACAUCAUUUUGGCUCUCAUGAACUGGCUUAUACGGAGUAAGAACACAUGAUCCUCACCAAUUACUGUGGAACUAGAAAAUUAUUGUUUCUUGUCUUUGUUUCCUUUUCUUCUUUCUGGGCAUUAAGGGUGGAAAAAAAGCAAAUUUUAGAAUUGUAUGUGCAGCUUAGACCCAGCAUAGCUCUUCCUGUAAGACUGUGUCCUGUGGUUGCCUCACCACUUUGGAGGCAGCAUUUUGUUCUCUGCUGCCUCCUGAAGAGUGAACAGGUGGGGACUGAGGAUGAGGCUCUGUCCUCUUCCUUGGUUGCUGGUGCACACAUGUAGUAUCAGCUAGAGAGGAAGGAAUAACAGAACUGAACCAGUGAUCACAAAGCUUGGUUUAUUUUAUGCAAACUCAUUUCAUCUGUGUUUAAAAAAGAAAAAAUGCAUGCAAGGUAUGACCAAAAUGUCACUGCAAAUCAGGAGCAGAGCAAGGAAAAAAGUUAAAAUUUAUGUAUUGUUUCCUGUCAUAUGUUUAAACUUUGUGAAACAUAAAUAUAGACUUUUUUCUUUCUUUUUACCUACCACAGAUUUCUUAAGCUUAAAGAAGAAGACUCAAAGUAUUUCUUCCUGUGGAGGAAUACCCCUUGUCAGAGUGUAUUUUCUUGUACUGCUUCAUUAGUGCAAGGGAUCAGUGACCAAAUAUAUUAGGCAUCCAUUGUGUAUAAGGAAGAUAAAUAAGGAAUGAUUUGUCAUGAAUUUUUUCUUUGUAUCAAUUAGACAUGUGGCACAGAGAUGAGAUAUAAUCUGUGUUUUCUUCUGCUUUCCACCCCUUAAUGCUUCUGACUCAUAUUUCAUUGUACUUGCAUCUUUAUUAGGUUUCUCUUGUUUGCAGUGUUCUAUUAUAAUGACUUUGUCUUUCACAGGUCAGUACUGUUGAUUGCAUUACAUCUGGCCUGGACUGCAGCUGAAUCAGUUUUGGGGGACCCAGCAGAAAGUUACUGCUGUAACUGGCCACAGCUUGUUCUUUGAUGAAAGGUGAAUAUUUCUAUAACCAUAGAUCUUCUCAGCUGCUCAAAAUAUCCAAACUGCAACUUUGCUCCUUCAGUCCUGCUUGGUUGAUAUGGGGCGAGAGGUGGACGUUGUCCCUAUGAAGUUCUCCAAGGCUUUCCAUUCAGUUUGCCCCAGCUUCCUCCUAGAGAAAUCGAUGUGUGACAAUCUAGACAAGUGGUCUGUGGGAUGGGUGGAAAGCUGCACCCAGAGAGGUAUGAUAAAUAGCUCUUUUUCAAGCUGGCAACCCAUCACAGGUGGACCCAAAGCUGUUGAUUAUCUUCAUGAGUGAUCUGGACAAUGGGAUCAAAUGGUCCCUGUUGAAAUCUGCUGGUGAUUCCAAACUGAGUGGGGAAAUGGAUAUUUUGGAAGGGAGAACCACUCUGCAGGAAGACCUGUAUGGGCUGGAAGAGUGGAUCAACAAGAACCUUAUAAAGUACAACAAAGACAAACAUAAGGCCUUGCACCUGGGAAAGCAUAAUCCAGGACUGCAGCACAGGCUGGGGUCUAUGGAGAAGUGGAAGAGCUCUGUGGAAAGUGACCCAGGGGUCCUGGGGGAAAUCAAAUUCAGUGUGAGUGAACUGUGAACUCCUGUGGCAAAGAGAGCCAACGAGAUGCUGCACUGCAUCAGCAAAGGCAUCAUCUGCAGAGGGAAAAAAAGGCCAUUAUCUCACUCCACUCAGUGCUUGUCAGGCCACACCUGAAAUACUGUGCUCAGUUUUAGUCCGUGAUAUUCGAGGAGGCUGGAGAGAGUCCAGACAAGGACCGUAAAGAUGAUCUAAGGACUAGAAAACCUGUCGUGUGGGGAAAGGCUGAGACAGAUGGGUUUGUUCAGCCUUGGGAAAAGAAGGCUCAGGGGAGACCUUGUCACCAUGUUCCAGUGGCUACAAAGAAGAUGGAAACUCUUUUUGCGAGGAGUCACAUGGAAAAGACAAGGGAUAAUGGGUACAAGUUACACCUGGCGAGGUUCCAGUUGAACACAGGAGGAAAAUUUUUCGCAAGGAGAACAAUCAACCAUUGUAAUAAUCUUCUCCCCAGGGAAGUGGUGAAUUCCCCAGCAUGGACACUUUUAAGAUCCAGUUGAACAGAGUGUUGUGCCAUCUUCUCUAGGUCUUUCUUUGGCCAUGGAAAGUUGGAUCAGAUGAUCCCUGAGGUCCCUUCCAACCUGGUGUUUUAUGAUUCUGUGAAUUCAGGCCAAACUCGAAUCAGUUUUUCCAGAUAUUUUAAACAUGUUAAUUAUACAAGCAUAGACUCCCUAGUUUAGUGGGGGUUUUUUUGGUUGUUUUGUUGGGUUUUUUUUGUUUGUUUGUUUGUUUUUUAAACUAGGCUGUGUAGUAUAAAGAAUGUUUGUAUUAGUAGUUUCAAGAUUCAUAAUGUAUCCUAUUUCUGUGUUUACAGUAUGUUGCAGAAUGUCAAAAGAUCUCAUUUUAUGCUUAGAAUAAAAAAAUUCUAGACUUGUCAUAGCUAUUAUGCAGUGUAAAACAAAAUCACUACAAAACAACUGCUAAUUCUGUUGGCCUUUGAUUGCUGUCAAGUCUUUUAUAAUUCUGUAAUCUGACUGUGCUAUGAAUAAAUAAGGGCAAUUUACUUUGAA